rnacentral:lncRNA from 1 species
GUGUGAGUGAGAGACUUUCACUCAAUGUACUUGACACGAAGAGAUGCUGCCAUGCUGAAGUCCUGCAGCAGUGUGAGAGGCCUGGAACUUGUCCUCUGCACCCUCAUGCUGUCAGCAGCCAGGUGAAACGGGACAGGUGCUGCUGCUUCCUGGCACAUUUGAUGGCUGGGAUGCAUCUUUCUGAGGAGCUGCCAGAAGAAUGGCAAAGGAUAAAGCUGAAGGUGUCCAAAAGCCUGCAAGCCAGUAACAUGAGCUGAGAUCUGUGAAUGAAAGCAGUCUUCUGGAUGAAAUUGCCUUGAUUUGGCAAAGAGAUUGUCCUGUGGAGAGAGGAUCCCAUGCUGGAGCAGUCUGUCCCUGAAGGACUGCACCCUGUAGCCCCUGGACUGAACGACUCUCCAUGGCUCAGGCAGAGAAAGCAGAGAACUUAUGCUGCCUGAAGAUGGUAUGGAAUCUCUCUCUGCUAUGCAACUUCACACAGCCCCAGUUUUCCAUAAUGCAAGAGAAGGGAACACCGUCACACUGAAUGAUUCAGUGAAGAAAUGGCUGAUGUGGCCUCAACAGGAGACUGGCUCUGCGGUAUACAAUACUGUAUAUGCUUGCCACUGAGGGCAGAGAAAAUUAGUGUCUCAACUCAACAAUAACACGAGUUUCUGACUUCUUUAGCUAAAAGCAAGACCAAGCUGGACUCAUACUUCUUUCCAGAGUUUAUUUAGAGAUCCAGCAUAAUCUAGCUCUGAAAGCAGUAGUCAUACCAUUUUCUUCUCUACAUAAAUAA